CCUACGGGGGGCAGCAGUGGGGAAUAUUGGACAAUGGGGGCAACCCUGAUCCAGCCAUGCCGCGUGUGUGAAGAAGGCCCUCGGGUUGUAAAGCACUUUCAGUGAGGAAGAACGCCUGGUGGUUAAUACCCAUCAGGAAAGACAUCACUCACAGAAGAAGCACCGGCUAACUCCGUGCCAGCAGCCGCGGUAAUACGGAGGGUGCGAGCGUUAAUCGGAAUUACUGGGCGUAAAGCGCGCGUAGGUGGCUUGAUAAGCCGGUUGUGAAAGCCCCGGGCUCAACCUGGGAACGGCAUCCGGAACUGUCAAGCUAGGGUGCAGGAGAGGAAGGUAGAAUUCCCGGUGUAGAGGUGAAAUGCGUAGAGAUCGGGAGGAAUACCAGUGGCGAAGGCGGCCUUCUGGACUGACACUGACACUGAGGUGCGAAAGCGUGGGUAGCAAACAGGAUUAGAUACCCCGGUAGUC
rnacentral:rRNA from 1 species